AUUGCACGCUGGCGGCAGGCUUAACACAUGCAAGUCGAGCGAGCGGCGGACGGGUGCGUAAUGUCUGGGAAACUGCCUGAUGUAGGGGGAUACCUACUGGAAACGGUCGCUAAUACCGCAUACCCUCCUAUGUGCCCAGAGGGGAUUAGCUAGUGGGUGGGGUAAUGGCUCACCUAGGCGACGAUCCCUAGCUGGUCUGAGAGGAUGACCAGCCACACUGGAACGGAGACACGGUCCAGACUCCUACGGGAGGCAGCAGUGGGGAAUAUUGCACAAUGGGCGCAAGCCUGAUGCAGCCAUGCCGCGUGUGUGAAGAAGGCCUUCGGGUUGUAAAGCACUUUCAGCGAGGAGGCGUUACUCGCAGAAGAAGCACCGGCUAACUCCGUGCCAGCAGCCGCGGUAAUUC
rnacentral:rRNA from 1 species